CAAACCAAUAGUCCAUCAAACCACAUUACUCAUGUUGGAUUUUGCCAUAGUUUAGAAGAUUAGCAGGUACAUUUUUGAUUUCUUCCUAUAUAAGUGUUUUUUUUUUUUUUUUGUCUUUCUUUCUUUUGAGAUGUGUACAAAGGCAUGCUUAUUUGAUUGUAUCUACAAAUGCUGUUUUGUACAGGCUGACAAGCUAAAGAAGUCACUGGAGGAUGAAAUUCAUUUUCUUAAGGGAAGGGUUUCAGAACUUGAAAGUGAUCUUGUGUCAAAGUGCAUAGAAGUUACAUCUACAGUUUCAGGGAAGAAAGAAGCUCUAUUUUCUGUAUUUGCUGAAAUUGACCGUUUGAAGGAAGAAAAUUCUGUAAAAACGUGAGCAUUAUUGCAUUAUAUGGAGGUUGUCUACUAUGUUGGAGUGUAUUUGUUUCUUGCACAUGAGGGCACGCCUUAGUUGUAAUUCUUAUAAUAGGUUGAGCAAAGUGAAGUAUUAUUUAUUUAGAAAUGUGAAUGUAGGAUGCAUUGUAUGAUUUGAUUGCUAUUUGUAAUAAAUGCAUCAUUUUAUCUCCUGAU